GACGAACGCUGGCGGCGUGCUUAACACAUGCAAGUCGAACGGACAGGCCCUGCUUUUGUGGGGUGCUCGAGUGGCGAACGGGUGAGUAACACGUGAGUAACCUGCCCUUGACUUUGGGAUAACUUCAGGAAACUGGGGCUAAUACCGGAUAGGAGCUCCUGCUGCAUGGUGGGGGUUGGAAAGUUUCGGCGGUUGGGGAUGGACUCGCGGCUUAUCAGCUUGUUGGUGGGGUAGUGGCUUACCAAGGCUUUGACGGGUAGCCGGCCUGAGAGGGUGACCGGCCACAUUGGGACUGAGAGACGGCCCAGACUCCUACGGGAGGCAGCAGUGGGGAAUAUUGCACAAUGGGCGGAAGCCUGAUGCAGCAACGCCGCGUGCGGGAUGACGGCCUUCGGGUUGUAAACCGCUUUCGCCUGUGACGAAGCGUGAGUGACGGUAAUGGGUAAAGAAGCACCGGCUAACUACGUG
rnacentral:rRNA from 1 species